AAAGCUCGUAGUUGGAUUUCGGGUGGGUCUCAGCGGUCCGCCUAUGGUGAGUACUGCUGUGGCCUUCCUUACUGUCGGGGACCUGCUUCUGGGCUUCAUUGUCCGGGACAGGGAUUCGGCAUGGUUACUUUGAGUAAAUUGGAGUGUUCAAAGCAGGCUUACGCCGUGAACAUUUUAGCAUGGAAUAACAUGAUAGGACUCUGCCCUAUUCUGUUGGCCUGUAGGAGUGGAGUAAUGAUUAAGAGGAACAGUCGGGGGCAUUCGUAUUUCAUUGUCAGAGGUGAAAUUCUUGGAUUUAUGAAAGACGAACUACUGCGAAAGCAUUUGCCAAGGAUGUUUUCAUUAAUCAAGAACGAAAGUUGGGGGCUCGAAGACGAUUAGAUACCGUCGUAGUCUCAACCAUAAACGAUGCCGACUAGGGAUUGGCGGACGUUUUUGCAUGACUCC
rnacentral:rRNA from 1 species